UACGUAGGCAGCGAGCGUUGUUCGGAGUUACUGGGCGUAAAGGGUGUGUAGGCGGUUCUUUAAGUUUGGUGUGAAAUCUCCCGGCUCAACCGGGAGGGUGCGCCGAAUACUGAGGGACUAGAGUGCGGGAGAGGAAAGUGGAAUUCCUGGUGUAGCGGUGAAAUGCGUAGAUAUCAGGAGGAACACCGGUGGUGUAGACGGCUUUCUGGACCGUAACUGACGCUGAGACACGGAAAGCGUGGGGAGCAAACGGG
rnacentral:rRNA from 1 species